rnacentral:rRNA from 1 species
UACGUAGGGGGCAAGCGUUGUCCGGAAUCAUUGGGCGUAAAGCGCGUGUAGGCGGCCAAAAAAGUCCGCUGUGAAACUCGAGGCUCAACUUCGAGCUGUCGGUGGAAACUUUCUGGCUAGAGUCCGGAAGAGGAGAAUGGAAUUCCGUGGUGUAGCGGUGAAAUGCGCAGAUAUCAGGAAGAACACCCGUGGCGAAGGCGGUUCUCUGGGACG